GCGCGGAAUCCAAACUGCUCGUCUAUGA
rnacentral:sRNA from 1 species